GACGAACGCUGGCGGCGUGCCUAAUACAUGCAAGUUGAGCGAUGAAGAUUGGUGCUUGCACCAAUUUGAAGAGCAGCGAACGGGUGAGUAACGCGUGGGGAAUCUGCCUUUGAGCGGGGGACAACAUUUGGAAACGAAUGCUAAUACCGCAUAACAACUUUAAACAUAAGUUUUAAGUUUGAAAGAUGCAAUUGCAUCACUCAAAGAUGAUCCCGCGUUGUAUUAGCUAGUUGGUGAGGUAAAGGCUCACCAAGGCGAUGAUACAUAGCCGACCUGAGAGGGUGAUCGGCCACAUUGGGACUGAGACACGGCCCAAACUCCUACGGGAGGCAGCAGUAGGGAAUCUUCGGCAAUAGACGAAAGGCUGACCGAGCAACGCCGCGGGAGUGAAGAAGGUUUUCGGAUCGUAAAACUCUGUUGGUAGAGAAGAACGUUGGUGAGAGUGGAAAGCUCAUCAAGUGACGGUAACUACCCAGAAAGGGACGGCUAACUACGUG
rnacentral:rRNA from 1 species